rnacentral:rRNA from 1 species
GCAGGCUUAACACAUGCAAGUCGAACGCUCCGCAAGGAGAGUGGCAGACGGGUGAGUAACACGUGGGAACAUACCCUUUGGUUCGGAACAACUCAGGGAGACUUGAGCUAAUACCGGAUAAGCCCUACGGGGGAAAGAUUUAUCGCCGAAGGAUUGGCCCGCGUCUGAUUAGCUAGUUGGUGAGGUAAUGGCUCACCAAGGCGACGAUCAGUAGCUGGUCUGAGAGGAUGAUCAGCCACAUUGGGACUGAGACACGGCCCAAACUCCUACGGGAGGCAGCAGUGAGGAAUAUUGGACAAUGGGCGCAAGCCUGAUCCAGCCAUGCCGCGUGAGUGAUGAAGGCCUUAGGGUUGUAAAGCUCUUUUACCCGGGAAGAUAAUGACUGUACCGGGAGAAUAAGCCCCGGCUAACUUCGUGCCAGCAGCCGCGGUAAUACGAAGGGGGCUAGCGUUGUUCGGAUUUACUGGGCGUAAAGCGCACGUAGGCGGGCUUUUAAGUCAGGGGUGAAAUCCCAGAGCUCAACUCUGGGACUGCCUUUGAUACUGGAAGUCUUGAGUAUGGUAGAGGUUGGUGGAACUGCGAGUGUAGAGGUGAAAUUCUUAGAUAUUCGCAAGAACACCAGUGGCGAAGGCGGCCAACUGGACCAUUACUGACGCUGAGGUGCGAAAGCGUGGGGAGCAAAACAGGAUUAGAUACCCUGGGUAGUCCACGCCGUAAACGAUGGAUGCUAAGCCGUUGGAACAGCAUGCUGUUCAGUGGCGCAGGUAACCCUUUAACAUUCCCGCCUGGGGGAGUACGGUCGCAAGAUUA